rnacentral:rRNA from 2 species
CAAUAGCGUAUACUAAAGUUGUUGCGUUUAAAAAGCUCGUAGUUGGAUCUCGGGCCAGGAUCGGCGGUCCACCGUACGGUUGUGACUGCCGACUCCUGCCUACUUUUCGGCUCUCUCUUGAUGUCCUUCACUGGGUGUCUUGAGUGGCCGGAGCGUUUACCUUGAAAAAAUUAGAGUGUUCAAGGCGGGCAAUUGCCUGAAUAAUGUUGCAUGGAAUAAUGGAAUAGGACCUCGGUUCUAUUUUGUUGGUUUUCGGAAGCUGAGGUAAUGAUUAAGAGGAACAGACGGGGGCAUUCGUAUUGCGCCGUUAGAGGUGAAAUUCUUGGAUCGGCGCAAGACGAACUACAGCGAAGGCAUUUGCCAAGAAUGUUUCCAUUGAUCAAGAACGAAAGUCAGAGGUU